UACGUAGGGGGCUAGCGUUGUCCGGAAUCAUUGGGCGUAAAGCGCGUGUAGGCGGCCCGGUAAGUCCGCUGUGAAAGUCGGGGGCUCAACCCUCGAAAGCCGGUGGAUACUGUCGGGCUCGAGUGCGGAAGAGGCGAGUGGAAUUCCUGGUGUAGCGGUGAAAUUCGUAGAUAUCGGGAGGAACACCGGUGGCGAAGGCGGCGACCUGGGACAAUACUGACGCUGAGGUGCGAAAGCGUGGGGAGCAAACAGG
rnacentral:rRNA from 1 species